GGUUGAUCCUGCCGGACCCCACUGCUAUCGGGAUGGGACUAAGACAUGCUAGUCGUGCGCCUUCUAGCCAUGCUGGAGGCGCGGCACACAGCUCAGUAGCACGUGGCUAACCUGCCCUUGAGACGGGAACAACCCCGGGAAACUGGGGCCAAUUCCCGAUAGGUGAAGAUUCCUGGAAUGGGUUUUUGCCGAAAAGACGCUUGGGCCAUGCUUCCAAGCGUUGCUCAAGGAUGGGGCCGCGGCCGAUCAGGUUGUUGGUGAGGUAAUGGCUCACCAAGCCUUUAACCGGUUCGGGCCGUGGGAGCGGUAGCCCGGAGAUGGGCACUGAGACAAGGGCCCAGGCCCUACGGGGCGCAGCAGUCGCGAAAACUUCGCAAUAAGCGAAAGCUUGACGGGGCCAUCCCGAGUGCCAUCUGCUGAGGAUGGCUUUUACCCAGUAUAGAUAGCUGGGGGAAUAAGGAGAGGGCAAGUCUGGUGUCAGCCGCCGCGGUAAUACCAGCUCUCCGAGUUGUGGGGACGUUUAUUGAGCCUGAAGCAUCCGUAGCCGGCUGGGCAAGUCCUCUGUUAAAUCCAGCGACAAAUCGUUGGCCUGCGGGGGAUACUGCUCGGCUAGGGGGCGGGAGAGGCCGUCGGUAUUCUUGGGGUAGGGGUGAAAUCCUAUAAUCCCAGGAGGACCACCAGUGGCGAAGGCUGUCGGCUAGAACGCGCCCGACGGUGAGGGACGAAAGCUGGGGGAGCGAACCGGAUUAGAUACCCGGGUAGUCCCAGCUGUAAACGAUGCUGGCUAGGUGUUGGAGCGGCUACGAGCCGCUCCAGUGCCGCAGGGAAGCCAUUAAGCCAGCCGCCUGGGGAGUACGGCCGCAAGGCUGAAACUUAAAGGAAUUGGCGGGGGAGCACCACAAGGGGUGAAGCUUGCGGUUUAAUUGGAKUCAACGCCGGR
rnacentral:rRNA from 1 species